UCUAACAUUACACUUCACACUAAAGUGAGAAACACUCAUUUCUUUCCUCUAAUUCUUCAACUUGUUACACAUUAUUGUUCAUAAUAUUUAUGAUUCGGUUUAUAUCAGCAAUAUGGAAGAAGCACUAGCAAGAAGACUUGUUCUUUAGGCUUUUAAGGAUAUGCAGCUUGCCAUUGAUUAUUGCUUAUUCCAGGUGUUUUGCUGCCGCAAUCUCGUCGGAGCCUAGCGUUGUGGUCUUCUUCAUCUUCACACUUCAACUCAGGCUCUUUCUGCCCCUUAAACAGGAGCUUCAAGGAAAUCACCACCUUUUGCUUUGAUUGCUUGUAGAAAGAAGGUUUUUCAGUCGCAAUUAACACGGAAAAUAAAAAUUUGACUGGAACUGCAAGAUAUGCUAGCAUGAAUACUCACCUUGGCAUUGGCUUUGUGUCGGGGUUAUCCAACAGAAUUUGCAUCAUACUUCCAUUACUGUCGCUCACUAAGGUUUGAUGAUAAGCCAGAUUACGCUUAUCUCAAAAGGAUAUUCCGUGACCUGUUUAUUCGGGAAGAAACAAACAAAAUUGGCCCAAGAUGAGAACCUUUUCCUAGAAAACAUUCUACGGCUGCUACUUCAAGAAUUUGUGAUGAGGACAACAAGAAGGAUUCUUCUAUAUCUAUUAUGGUUUGUUUCAUGAAUUCACUUUGAUCGGGAGAAGGAGAAAGAUGCUGAGUCUGAUGCUGUUGUCAAAGACAGAAGCGUUUCAGCUGUCUUGCUUGCAGGAGGGAAGGGCAAGAGGAUGGGAGCUAAUAUGCCAAAGCAGUACCUUCCUCUGUUGGGUCAACCCAUUGCACUCUAUAGUUUCUUGACUUUUUCUCACACGCCUAAAGUCAAAGAAAUCGUUGUUGUUUGUGAUCCUUCCUACAGGGACAUUUUCGAAGAUGUGAAAGGAAAUUCCCAAGCAAAACUCAAAUUUGCACUGCCAGGAAAAGAAAGACAGGAUUCUGUUUACAAUGGCUUUCAGGAUAUUGAUUCUAACUCUGAGCUUGUUUGCGUCCAUGAUUCUGCAAGACCUUUUGUGCUACAAGGAGAUGUGAAAAAUUUUGGUCCAUAUAUAUACAUGAUAACACUAAACACUAAAUAGCCAAAACCCCCCACUAUUCAUUUUACAAACAUUUCAAUCUCACCUCACUUUCAUUAUCACAAUCUCACCUCACUUUCAGUAUCACAUACCAGUAUUAAUGUAGAAAAUACAGCUGAUUAAAUGUAAUAAUAUACUGUAUAUGAUUAUGUAUCUCACAUAUAUACAUGAUAAUUAGAAUUGGUCCCUAUUUGUACCAAUUUUUAUUCAUUACAUGUUAAUUUCUGGCACAUGAUUUGUCUUUUGGAGAAAACCACUAUUGCAUAACUUUAGUGAUUGUAUAUAUUGUUUAGUAUUUAGUAGAAGCAAUACAUAUCUAGAGACUACAAAAUUAUUAUUUUUUUAUUUUUUAAACAAUUUUCCUGCGGAUUUACCUGCGUAAUUUUCCUGCGGAUUUACCUGCGGAAUUUUCCUGCGGAUUUAUCUGCGGAAUUACCUGCGGAACUUUCUGCCGAAAAUAUUACCCACGAAGGUUUUAGCUGGGGACAAUAAACCGCAGGAAAAUCCGCAGGUAAAGUGUUUCCU